AGCGCAUACGGUGGAUGCCUUGGCAGUCAGAGGCGAUGAAAGACGUGGUAGCCUGCGAAAAGCUUCGGGGAGUCGGCAAACAGACUGUGAUCCGGAGAUGUCUGAAUGGGGGAACCCAGCCAUCAUAAGAUGGUUAUCUUGUACUGAAUACAUAGGUGCAAGAGGCGAACCAGGGGAACUGAAACAUCUAAGUACCCUGAGGAAAAGAAAUCAACCGAGAUUCCCUUAGUAGUGGCGAGCGAACGGGGACCAGCCCUUAAGUUGUAUUGAGAUUAGCGGAACGUUCUGGAAAGGACGGCCAUAGUGGGUGAUAGCCCUGUACGCGAAAAUCCCUUUGCAAUGAAAUCGAGUAGGACGGGGCACGAGAAACCUUGUCUGAAUAUGGGGGGACCAUCCUCCAAGGCUAAAUACUACUGACUGACCGAUAGUGAACCAGUACCGUGAGGGAAAGGCGAAAAGAACCGCGGAGAGCGGAGUGAAAUAGAUCCUGAAACCGUAUGCGUACAAGCAGUGGGAGCCCACUUUGUUGGGUGACUGCGUACCUUUUGUAUAAUGGGUCAGCGACUUAUUUUCAGUGGCGAGCUUAACCGAAUAGGGGAGGCGUAGCGAAAGCGAGUCUUAAUAGGGCGUCUAGUCGCUGGGAAUAGACCCGAAACCGGGCGAUCUAUCCAUGGGCAGGUUGAAGGUUGGGUAACACUAACUGGAGGACCGAACCGACUACCGUUGAAAAGUUAGCGGAUGACCUGUGGAUCGGAGUGAAAGGCUAAUCAAGCUCGGAGAUAGCUGGUUCUCCUCGAAAGCUAUUUAGGUAGCGCCUCAUGUAUCACUGUAGGGGGUAGAGCACUGUUUCGGCUAGGGGGUCAUCCCGACUUACCAAACCGAUGCAAACUCCGAAUACCUACAAGUGCCGAGCAUGGGAGACACACGGCGGGUGCUAACGUCCGUCGUGAAAAGGGAAACAACCCAGACCGUCAGCUAAGGUCCCAAAGUCAUGGUUAAGUGGGAAACGAUGUGGGAAGGCUUAGACAGCUAGGAGGUUGGCUUAGAAGCAGCCACCCUUUAAAGAAAGCGUAAUAGCUCACUAGUCGAGUCGGCCUGCGCGGAAGAUGUAACGGGGCUCAAACCAUGCACCGAAGCUACGGGUAUCAUCUUUUGAUGAUGCGGUAGAGGAGCGUUCUGUAAGCCUGUGAAGGUGAGUUGAGAAGCUUGCUGGAGGUAUCAGAAGUGCGAAUGCUGACAUGAGUAACGACAAUGGGUGUGAAAAACACCCACGCCGAAAGACCAAGGUUUCCUGCGCAACGUUAAUCGACGCAGGGUUAGUCGGUCCCUAAGGCGAGGCUGAAAAGCGUAGUCGAUGGAAAACAGGUUAAUAUUCCUGUACUUCUGGUUAUUGCGAUGGAGGGACGGAGAAGGCUAGGCCAGCCUGGCGUUGGUUGUCCAGGUUUAAGGUGGUAGGCUGAGAUCUUAGGUAAAUCCGGGAUCUUAAGGCCGAGAGCUGAUGACGAGUGUUCUUUAGAACACGAAGUGGUUGAUGCCAUGCUUCCAAGAAAAGCUUCUAAGCUUCAGGUAACCAGGAACCGUACCCCAAACCGACACAGGUGGUUGGGUAGAGAAUACCAAGGCGCUUGAGAGAACUCGGGUGAAGGAACUAGGCAAAAUGGCACCGUAACUUCGGGAGAAGGUGCGCCGGUGAGGGUGAAGCAUUUACUGCGUAAGCCCACGCCGGUCGAAGAUACCAGGCCGCUGCGACUGUUUAUUAAAAACACAGCACUCUGCAAACACGAAAGUGGACGUAUAGGGUGUGACGCCUGCCCGGUGCCGGAAGGUUAAUUGAUGGGGUUAGCGCAAGCGAAGCUCUUGAUCGAAGCCCCGGUAAACGGCGGCCGUAACUAUAACGGUCCUAAGGUAGCGAAAUUCCUUGUCGGGUAAGUUCCGACCUGCACGAAUGGCGUAACGAUGGCGGCGCUGUCUCCACCCGAGACUCAGUGAAAUUGAAAUCGCUGUGAAGAUGCAGUGUAUCCGCGGCUAGACGGAAAGACCCCGUGAACCUUUACUAUAGCUUUGCACUGGACUUUGAAUUUGCUUGUGUAGGAUAGGUGGGAGGCUUUGAAGCGUGGACGCCAGUCUGCGUGGAGCCAACCUUGAAAUACCACCCUGGCAACUUUGAGGUUCUAACUCAGGUCCGUUAUCCGGAUCGAGGACAGUGUAUGGUGGGUAGUUUGACUGGGGCGGUCUCCUCCUAAAGAGUAACGGAGGAGUACGAAGGUGCGCUCAGACCGGUCGGAAAUCGGUCGUAGAGUAUAAAGGCAAAAGCGCGCUUGACUGCGAGACAGACACGUCGAGCAGGUACGAAAGUAGGUCUUAGUGAUCCGGUGGUUCUGUAUGGAAGGGCCAUCGCUCAACGGAUAAAAGGUACUCCGGGGAUAACAGGCUGAUACCGCCCAAGAGUUCAUAUCGACGGCGGUGUUUGGCACCUCGAUGUCGGCUCAUCACAUCCUGGGGCUGAAGCCGGUCCCAAGGGUAUGGCUGUUCGCCAUUUAAAGUGGUACGCGAGCUGGGUUUAGAACGUCGUGAGACAGUUCGGUCCCUAUCUGCCGUGGACGUUUGAGAUUUGAGAGGGGCUGCUCCUAGUACGAGAGGACCGGAGUGGACGAACCUCUGGUGUUCCGGUUGUCACGCCAGUGGCAUUGCCGGGUAGCUAUGUUCGGAAAAGAUAACCGCUGAAAGCAUCUAAGCGGGAAACUUGCCUCAAGAUGAGAUCUCACUGGAACCUUGAGUUCCCUAAAGGGCCGUCGAAGACUACGACGUUGAUAGGUUGGGUGUGUAAGCGCUGUGAGGCGUUGAGCUAACCAAUACUAAUUGCCCGUGAGGCUUGACC
rnacentral:rRNA from 1 species